UACAUUGACAUUAGCGGAUUUUACUGAGGCAACUUUAAAGUUGAUUGUUUCAUAUAUUUUUGUUUUUUGUCCCAUAUGUAAUUUUAUGUUCUCUGUUUUCUCUAUCGAUUUUAACUAUACCCUUUUAUCCUUUAUAAUGGAGUGACAAACUCAGACAUUGUGUGUUGUCAUCAGCUUCAUCUACCAUACGACCGACGAUAUUGGAGUUAAAUAACAGCACUGCAUUUG
rnacentral:misc_RNA from 1 species